UUAUAUAAACUGAAUUGAGGGGCUUGGAAUCCUGGCAACCUUGUCGAUAGCCACCACAAGUCAUUCGGUUCGAAAGCCACGAUCCAAUCCAAUCCAAUCGGAACUUUUCCCUCUUUUUUUUUUUAUAGCUGUUUCGCGGAGUUUUUUUUAGGGAGGCCUUGUAGGUACUACAACGGGUUUGCUAUCAAGAGGAGCAGCGACAUGGAAAUGGAAGAUGGCAAAAAGUUUGGGGUGUUCCAUUUUCUUAAGGAUGACUCUGUCGCUGUUGUCCAUGCAAACUGGGUGAAAGGCUCCGUUUGUUUUUGGCCCAAUAAGACAACAAGCAAGAAACUUAAAGCAUUGACCAUAGAAGGCAAGCUACCAGAGCUAGGCUGGACGGAGUUACCGUUCACUUCUCUUGGAUGGUAUGACAGUUACGAGAAGGCAAGACUGAAACUUCCCAUUGCUGAAGAGGCGUCCGACCUACGUAGUGACGUAGAAUUAGGGCGUGGAAAAAGAAAAAAGACUAGGAAGCUAGUGUCUAGCGAUUCUGAAGUUGAAAUCCAAGAAGGCUACAUUCCUCCUAAACCACCCACACCACCCUGCCUUGGAGAAAGAUCUGACCAAGCAAAGAAAAGCAGCCGUCUAAUCUUUUCUGGACAUGAAGCUGUGGUGCAUUCGAGGUCACACGGGGCAGGUCGUCAGAAGGCGAAAGAGAGCCGUCCCAUCUCUAACAAAGGUCAGGCACUUCGGAGGAUUUCGAGAUCAUGCGAGCAGUCUAGCCAGGGUGUGCACGGCAGCCGUCCUGUCUCACGGGAGCGCGAGUCCUCGCAUGGAAGGCAGCUCAAAUCCCCGGAGUGGUCCAGCCGAUGGGCCCAUGGCAGCCGUUCAGUUUCUCGUGAGUUUGAGGAACUUCCGUGGAGGCGUUCACUCUCCCCUAGGCACUCUACCCAGCAGGCACAUGGGAGCUGCCCUUCCCAUCACGAGGUAGAAUCCUCACUCGGGAGGUGCUCAGCAAUGUCUCCUGAGGCUCUCAGUCAGCAUGUGCAUGGCAGCCCUCCUGUCUCACGGGAGCGCAAGUCCUCGUAUGGAAGGCAGUCCAAAUCACCGGAGCGGUCCAGGAGUGGGGUCCAUGGCAGCCGUUCAGUUUCUCGUGAGUUUGAGGAACUUCCGUGGAGGCGUUCACUCUCCCCUAGGCACUCUACCCAGCAGGCACAUGGGAGCCGCCCUUCCCAUCACGAGGUAGAAUCCUCACUCGGGAGGUGCUCAGCAAUGUCUCCCGAGGCCCUCAAUCAGCAUGUGCAUGGCCCUGUUCCCAGCGCAGGGCGGCCGCGUGAUAUUACUGCUCAUAUGCCACCAGGGGCAAUUUCGGGCCCACAAUGGACAGAUUUCAUGACGCAGGUGCUGAGGAUGUUGCAUACACUCAAGCAGAGACAACAACAGCAAUCAGAACAACUGGCACUCCUUGCCAACAUGCUCGACAGUGUGCUGCCUGCACCGACCGAACCUCUUGUUGUUGCUCCUUUGAAGGAUUUGGAGGAAUUCUUGGCUUACGAAAAAGUCCUGGCUGCAAGUGAUGAAAAGAAGCUGCAACUGAAAAGGUACAUCAAAAUAAUUGGCGGGGACGAUGCAAAGGAAAAAACUUCCCGAAUACAUAAGAAGCUUCUGACUUACGACAUAGGAGUGGCCUUCACUUGGUAUGGUACAAAAGACAAGAGGAGAUUCUGUGACCUGCAGUUCUGUCAGCUGAUGUGUGGUGGCUUAACAGAACAACAAAACAAGAAAGAAGCAGAAGUCACUCUUAAAGAUAUUGAGAAAACAACAAUGACAUGGCUGCGCCAUGCCAAAGAGCGCCUGGACAACUGCCAGAAAAGGGGGGCUGCACAGAUGGCACACCCAGAGGAAGAUGAGGAUGACUGAAAUCUGGAAUUGUUUUCUUUCCAAGUGAAGAUGUGCUGUUAUUUUAAUGAACAGUUCCUUAAGCCUCGUUCAGGUUCCAACUAGUCAAUAAUUUAUUUGUUUUGUAAAACAGACUACUUUAUUUUUAUGAACAGUUGCAGUCUGGAAUUUUUUUUUAGUUCUCUAAAGAGGUGGUUUUAUUUUUAUGAACAGUUGCUUCAACCUUUUUCUAUAAGCUUUGUUAAGUCACUAACGAGUCAUUUAUAUCUUUGUUAUCAGACUAUUUUAUUUUUAUCAACAGUUGCUUAAGGCUUCUUGGAUAAACCAUCAUGAAACCACUUACAACUAGUCUCUUUUUCUUGUGAAAGCAGACUAUUUUCUUGUAAAAGCAAAAGUAUGUUUGUAACACGAUUUUAUGAUCCAGUGUUAGUGUUCUUACAAUAAAAUUUAAAAGCUGCCUUA
rnacentral:sRNA from 1 species